rnacentral:rRNA from 1 species
AAACUAACAAGGAUUCCCCUAGUAACGGCGAGUGAAGAGGGAAGAGCCCAAGAUUGAAAGCUGGCGUCUUUGGCGUCCGCAUUGUAAUCUCAAGAAGUGUUUUCCGCUUCGGACCAUGCCUAAGUCCCUUGGAAAAGGGCAUCAUAGAGGGUGAUAAUCCCGUACAUGGCAUGGAGCGCCCGAAGCUUUGUGAUACACUUUCUAAGAGUCGAGUUGUUUGGGAAUGCAGCUCAAAAUGGGUGGUAAAUGCCAUCUAAGGCUAAAUAUUGGGGAGAGACCGAUAGCGAACAAGUACAGUGAUGGAAAGAUGAAAAGAACUUUGAAAAGAGAGUUAAACAGUACGUGAAAUUGCCAAAAGGGAAGGGUAGGAGGUCAGAGAUGCGGUCUGGGAUUCAGCCUUGCUUUUGCUGGGUGUUUUUCUCAGAUUGCAGGCCAACGUCGGUUUUGGGCGCUGGAGAAGGGUGGAAGGAAUGUGGCACCUCUCGGGGUGUGUUAUAGCCUUCUACUGGAUACAGUGACCGAGACCGAGGACAGCAGCGUACUCGCAAGAGCGGGCCUUCGGGCACCUUUGCGCUUAGGGCGUUGGCAUAAUGGCCCUCUACCAC